AUUGAACGCUGGCGGCAUGCCUUACACAUGCAAGUCGAACGGUAACAGGUCUUCGGAUGCUGACGAGUGGCGAACGGGUGAGUAAUACAUCGGAACGUGCCUAGUAGUGGGGGAUAACUACUCGAAAGAGUGGCUAAUACCGCAUGAGAUCUACGGAUGAAAGCAAGGGAUCGCAAGACCUUGUGCUACUAGAGCGGCCGAUGGCAGAUUAGGUAGUUGGUGGGGUAAAAGCUUACCAAGCCGACGAUCUGUAGCUGGUCUGAGAGGACGAUCAGCAACACUGGGACUGAGACACGGCCCAGAAUCGUACGGGAGGCAGCAGUGGGGAAUGUUGGACAAUGGGAGCAAGCAUGAUCCAGCAAUGCCGCGUGCAGGAUGAAGGCCUGCGGGUUGUAAACUGCUUUUGUACGGAACGAAAAGCCCCGGGUUAAUACCCUGGGGUCAUGACGGUACCGUAAGAAUAAGCACCGGCUAACUACGUGCCAGCCGCCGCCGUAA
rnacentral:rRNA from 1 species